GAUGAACGCUAGCGGCAGGCCUAAUACAUGCAAGUCGAACGGUAAGUAUGAUAGCAAUAUUGUACCAAGAGUGACGUACGGGUGCGUAACACGUAUGCAACCUACCCUUUACAGAUGGAUAGCUCGGGGAAACUCGAAUUAACCCGUCAUAGUAUAGUUGAAUGGCAUCAUUUAAUUAUUAAAACUGAGGUGGUAAAGGAUGGGCAUGCGUCUGAUUAGUUAGUUGGCGGGGAACGG
rnacentral:rRNA from 1 species